GGGGGCAAAGAGCGUGGAGGCGGGGCACUGGGCCUCAUUCGCCAAGGGGGGAAGCCCCGCUUCGUAGAGCCCAUUGUCCAGGGCAGCAGGCAGCCCCUGGCUGGAGCUCAGGCUGCUUGGGCUCCGUUGUCAGGGCAACAGGGAAUGUUGGCUAACAGACCUAGUGACCUCAUAGAGGCUGCCCACUGGUCUCAUCCCAUCGUCCCGGAGGCUCAGCAGCACACUGGGGCCGGAGCCGGACAGGACCUGAGGGCAGAGGAAGACCACGACCGAUCUUGCCUUGGGGGAGCGCUCACCACUUGGAGUCACUGCUGUGACCGCCGGCCGCAGCAGCCUAUGCCGGGCCCGAGAGGAGAGUGAGCCCUUGUGCGAGAGACGCAUGAAGCACUCUCUGUUCAAGAGCACCUUGCUUCUUCUCUACCUGACCCUCUUGAUCUCCUGCUACCCCUACCUGGAGUCCGCCAUCUACUCUCCCCCAGCAACUUUUAUCGAGGCGGUGAAAAAGAAGGCGGUCCACAAGGCCCUCCUGAGACGCAUCCUGGCUCUCAAGCAUGAUGGUUAUGCCUUCGGCAUCAGCCCCAAGUACGGCUCAGUGCAAGACCCCCUGAGUGAGUUUCUCAGCGCAGUGUGAGGUGGGAGGUAGACGUGCAGCAAGCGCCACAAGACCCGGGCCCUACUCUCUCACUAUGGUUCCUGCCAUUGCUUUCUCGCGGUUCAAAUAAAUCAUGAUGUCCUGGC